GACGAACGCUGGCGGCGUGCCUAAUACAUGCAAGUCGAGCGGACCAAAGGGAGCUUGCUCCUGGAGGUUAGCGGCGAACGGGUGAGUAACACGUGGGCAACCUGCCUGUAAGACUGGGAUAACAUCGAGAAAUCGGUGCUAAUACCGGAUAAUAAAAAGAACUGCAUGGUUCUUUUUGAAAGAUGGUUUCGGCUAUCACUUACAGAUGGGCCCGCGGCGCAUUAGCUAGUUGGUGGGGUAACGGCUCACCAAGGCGACGAUGCGUAGCCGACCUGAGAGGGUGAUUGGCCACACUGGGACUGAGACACGGCCCAGACUCCUACGGGAGGCAGCAGUAGGGAAUCUUCCGCAAUGGACGAAAGUCUGACGGAGCAACGCCGCGUGAGUGAUGAAGGUUUUCGGAUCGU
rnacentral:rRNA from 1 species